GAUGGGUCGUUGAUAGCAACCAGCAGCCCAUGGUUAGUUGCAUACGAAAAGCUAGGAUUUAGUGUUAGUGGAUUCCAUGGUGGGCUGCAGCCUACAGACAGACUAACGACUGAAGCAGCUCAUACUAAGAAGCUCUCUGGUAUAGUUCUCUCAAAGAACUUC